GCUGGGCAUGGUGGCGCGUGCCUGUAAUCCCAGCUACUCUGGAGGCUGAGGCGGGAGAAUCGCUUGAACCUGGGAGGCAGAGGUUGCAGUGAGCUGAGAUCGUGCCACUGCACUCCAGCCUGGGUGACAGAGUGAGACUCGUCUUAA
ensembl:misc_RNA Metazoa_SRP Metazoan signal recognition particle RNA